ensembl:lincRNA Gm30075 predicted gene, 30075
AUUGCCAGAGCCCAAGGUUGCUCUCUCAAGAUGUAAGAUCUCAGCUAUUGUCCCAGCACCAUGCCUGCCUGCUUGCCUGUUGCUGCCAUGCUCCCAGCUAUGAUGAUCAUGGACCCUAACCUUCUGAAACUGCAAGACCGAUAAGGAAAUACAGCUUAAAUGAGUGUCAGCGGCUGGCAGGAUGGCUCAGUGAAGAAGGACAGUUGCUGGCAAGAUUGAAGUGUUCAGUACCUGGAUCCCACUUGGUAGAAACUGAAAUCCAGCUCUAGCAAGUUGUCAUCUGACCUCCACAUGUAUGUAUGCUCCACACACACAGAGAAACACACACACACACACACACACACACACACACACACACACUCACACACACACACACACACUCACACACACAGAGCAAAUACGUGAGUAAGUGAGACUUACAAUAAAAAAGUAGCAGCCAGAUGGAAAGCAGUGGCUGGGUUCUCCAUCUGCUGGAGUGUUUGUCUAACUGUCCACACCCUGGCCUUCAAGCCCCCGCUACCCCCAAGCAAAGCAAAAUAGCAAUGACGAGAAACAAGGCAAGCAAAACCCUCUGAGGUUUAGCUGACUGUGGUAGCACCCACCUAGAAUGCUAGGAUUAGGGAAGCUGAGACAGGAGGAUUGCAAGAUUGUGAGUCUGACGUUAGUCAGGGCUGCUGAUACUGAAAGACUCUGACGGGUAGGGGUCAUUGAAAAUGAAGCUACGAACAAAGAUUGAGUCAUUUGAGUUAGUGAACGCACAGCUCAAGAAAGGCAAGCAUUUUAAAAAAAUUUAUUCUCUUCUCAUACAAUCCAUUACGACUGCAGCUUUCCCUCGAUCCAUUCCUCUCAGUUCCCCCCCCCCCCACCUCUCCUCUCCUCUAGAUCCAUCCCUGAUUUGUCUCCCCUUACAAAAGAGUGGGCCUUCCAUGAACAUCAACUGGACAUGGUACAAGGUGUAUUAAAAUAAGGCAUAAACUCUCAUACCAGGGCCCAGUGAAUCAACCCAGAAGGAAGAAAAGGGUACCAAGAGCUGGCAAAAGAGUCAGAGACACCCCUGCUCCCACUAUUAGGAGAUUCCAAACCACCAGUUAUAACAUACGCAAAGGACUUAGUGCAUAUCCAUAAAAGCUCUGUGAUUGUCACCUCUGUGACAUCCCUGUGAGCCUCAUGAGCCCUGAUUAGCUGAUUCCACCCCUUGGCUCCUACAAUUCCUCUGCCCCAUCUUCUGGGUUGGGGGGUAGGGGGAAGGAGGUAUUCCCAGAGCCCUCUGCGGAGGAACUGGAAGGAAACCUUCAAACUGGGCUCUUUCAUGACUAAUAUUUGGGUGUGGGUCUCUGUAUCUGCUCCCAUCAUCUGUCAACUGGUUCACUUGAAUUAGUGAAUGCAAACCCAAAGAAAGGAAGGUUUUUGUUUGUUUGUUUUUUCCUGGAAAAGAAGGAAGAGGAAGAGGAAGGGUAGAGGAGGAAGAGGAGGAAGAAGAGGAAGAGGAGGAAAAGAAAAAGUCACUUCAAAGCAAAAGUACCCAGUGGAAAACAGGAAGGCACUUUAUAUUGUCAAAUUGAACAUUUUUACAUAAGAGAUAUUUUGUGAAUGCAUAGAAUAUCAUAGCACUAUGCAGACAUGAGUCCUGGAUCUUAUCUCAAAGGCCAUUAUACCCAUUUCAGAGGCAAGGAGACUGAGGCUUAUCCAAGCAAUUAUGAACAGAUUCUGGAUCUGUGCCUGGGCCACUACACUUCUCUCAUAUCCUCAGAAGCCCGAGAAAGCAACUGUAUGCUGUGGCUACUGAAGCCAUGAUCUCACAGCAGCUGGGGUGACCACAUGAAGUAGUCAUAGAUGAGGGAGAUGAUUUCCAAGGCCCACCCUUUACUGAGAAGCAAGUUACCGGGGAGGAAGAGCCAUUUUUCUUUGGGACUAUAGUCACAGGAAGGCUUUGAUGCUCCAGUGGAUGGCCCCACACUGAUGCAAUAUGAACAGUACUAGUUAGACUUACUGGUUUAUAAAAACAAACAGACAAACAUAGAAAGCAUAACAGAAGACAUGGAGUAAGACGAGGAAGUGCUGAAGAGGAUAUGGGAGGGUUUGGAGGGAUAGAAAUGGGGAGUGUGUAUGAUCAUAUUUCAUUGUAUAUACAGUGCAUGUGUAUGAUCAUAUUUCAUUGUGUAUAUGGAACAUGUAUAUGAUCAUAUUUCAUUAUACAUAUGGGACAUAUGAUCAUAUUUCAUUGUAUAUAUGGUGCAUGUGUAUGAUCAUAUUGCAUUGUAUAUAUGGGGUGUGUAUAUGAUCAUAUUUUAUUGUAUAUAUGGCGCAUGUGUAUGAUCACAUUUCAUUGUAUAUAGGUAUGAAACUCUAAAAGAAUAAAAAUAGAUGAAGUAGUUCAAGAAAACAAGAAACAGGACAAGAAUAUACCUCAGAGACAGGAAAGGAGAGUCUAACUGCAGAGCAUUCCAUUAGAAUACAAAAGAAACCCAGGGCUGGUGGGGUGAAGGAAAAAUGGCCCCCAGAGGCUCUAGCAUUUGAAUGCUUGGCCUCCGAUGGUGGUGCUGUUUAGGAAGGUUACAGAACCCUGAGGAGGUGCAGCCUUGCUGGAGGAAGUACUUCAGUGAGAGAGGGCGUUGAGGGCACAUAGCCUCGGCCCACUUCUGCCCACUUUCUGUUCUCUUUGUGUUUCCUGACCUAGGCCAGUAUCACCAGCCUCUGCCUUGCCUCCAUCUGCCACCGUGGACCCCAUCUCUCAGGACCCGUGAGCUAAAACAAACCCUUGCUUCCUUAGGUGGCUUUUGGUCAGGGUGUUUUAUCAUAGCUACAGAGAAGCAACUAAUACACUCUGCUGGCUUAUAGGUUGACUUUUGAAAAAAACAACAGAAAAAGAGAGAUGAGAAAGUGAUCAACUGUGACCGGAGAUUGGAUGUACAGUUUAAUCUGUAAAAGAGCAGAUGCUAUGGAUGGAAGGAGUAUGUCUCUGGAAUGGGUAUUUUUUGGAAACUUUGAAAUUAUUCUGAAGUAAUAAUCCCUCUAGCAAACUAAUGU